rnacentral:rRNA from 1 species
AGCGUACACGGUGGAUGCCCUGGCAGUCAGAGGCGAUGAAGGACGUGCUAAUCUGCGAAAAGCGUCGGUAAGGUGAUAUGAACCGUUAUAACCGGCGAUGUCCGAAUGGGGAAACCCAGUGCAAUUCGUUGCACUAUCGUUAACUGAAUACAUAGGUUAACGAGGCGAACCGGGGGAACUGAAACAUCUAAGUACCCCGAGGAAAAGAAAUCAACCGAGAUUCCCCCAGUAGCGGCGAGCGAACGGGGAGCAGCCCAGAGUCUGAAUCAGCUUGUGUGUUAGUGGAACGGUCUGGAAAGUCCGACGGUACAGGGUGAUAGUCCCGUACACCAAAAUGCACAGGCUGUGAACUCGAAGAGUAGGGCGGGACACGUGGUAUCCUGUCUGAAUAUGGGGGGACCAUCCUCCAAGGCUAAAUACUCCUGACUGACCGAUAGUGAACCAGUACCGUGAGGGAAAGGCGAAAAGAACCCCGGCGAGGGGAGUGAAAAAGAACCUGAAACCGUGUACGUACAAGCAGUGGGAGCACCUUCGGGUGUGACUGCGUACCUUUUGUAUAAUGGGUCAGCGACUUAUAUUCUGUAGCAAGGUUAACCGUAUAGGGGAGCCGCAGGGAAACCGAGUCUUAACUGGGCGUUAAGUUGCAGGGUAUAGACCCGAAACCCGGUGAUCUAGCCAUGGGCAGGUUGAAGGUUGGGUAACACUAACUGGAGGACCGAACCGACUAAUGUUGAAAAAUUAGCGGAUGACUUGUGGCUGGGGGUGAAAGGCCAAUCAAACCGGGAGAUAGCUGGUUCUCCCCGAAAGCUAUUUAGGUAGCGCCUCGUGAAUUCAUCUUCGGGGGUAGAGCACUGUUUCGGCUAGGGGGUCAUCCCGACUUACCAACCCGAUGCAAACUACGAAUACCGAAGAAUGUUAUCACGGGAGACACACGGCGGGUGCUAACGUCCGUCGUGAAGAGGGAAACAACCCAGACCGCCAGCUAAGGUCCCAAAGUCAUGGUUAAGUGGGAAACGAUGUGGGAAGGCACAGACAGCCAGGAUGUUGGCUUAGAAGCAGCCAUCAUUUAAAGAAAGCGUAAUAGCUCACUGGUCGAGUCGGCCUGCGCGGAAGAUGUAACGGGGCUAAACCAUGCACCGAAGCUGCGGCAGCGACACUAUGUGUUGUUGGGUAGGGGAGCGUUCUGUAAGCCUGCGAAGGUGUGCUGUGAGGCAUGCUGGAGGUAUCAGAAGUGCGAAUGCUGACAUAAGUAACGAUAAAGCGGGUGAAAAGCCCGCUCGCCGGAAGACCAAGGGUUCCUGUCCAACGUUAAUCGGGGCAGGGUGAGUCGACCCCUAAGGCGAGGCCGAAAGGCGUAGUCGAUGGGAAACAGGUUAAUAUUCCUGUACUUGGUGUUACUGCGAAGGGGGGACGGAGAAGGCUAUGUUAGCCGGGCGACGGUUGUCCCGGUUUAAGCAUGUAGGCUGAUUAUCCAGGCAAAUCCGGAUAAUCAAGGCUGAGGUGUGAUGACGAGGCACCACGGUGCUGAAGUAACAAAUGCCCUGCUUCCAGGAAAAGCCUCUAAGCAUCAGGUAACAUCAAAUCGUACCCCAAACCGACACAGGUGGUCAGGUAGAGAAUACCAAGGCGCUUGAGAGAACUCGGGUGAAGGAACUAGGCAAAAUGGUGCCGUAACUUCGGGAGAAGGCACGCUGGUGUGUAGGUGAAGUCCCUGCGGAUGGAGCUGAGACCAGUCGAAGAUACCAGCUGGCUGCAACUGUUUAUUAAAAACACAGCACUGUGCAAACACGAAAGUGGACGUAUACGGUGUGACGCCUGCCCGGUGCCGGAAGGUUAAUUGAUGGGGUUAUCCGUAAGGAGAAGCUCUUGAUCGAAGCCCCGGUAAACGGCGGCCGUAACUAUAACGGUCCUAAGGUAGCGAAAUUCCUUGUCGGGUAAGUUCCGACCUGCACGAAUGGCGUAAUGAUGGCCAGGCUGUCUCCACCCGAGACUCAGUGAAAUUGAACUCGCUGUGAAGAUGCAGUGUACCCGCGGCAAGACGGAAAGACCCCGUGAACCUUUACUAUAGCUUGACACUGAACAUUGAGCCUUGAUGUGUAGGAUAGGUGGGAGGCUUUGAAGCGUGGACGCCAGUCUGCGUGGAGCCAACCUUGAAAUACCACCCUUUAAUGUUUGAUGUUCUAACGUUGGCCCCUUAUCGGGGUUGCGGACAGUGUCUGGUGGGUAGUUUGACUGGGGCGGUCUCCUCCCAAAGCGUAACGGAGGAGCACGAAGGUUAGCUAAUCCUGGUCGGACAUCAGGAGGUUAGUGCAAUGGCAUAAGCUAGCUUGACUGCGAGCGUGACGGCGCGAGCAGGUGCGAAAGCAGGUCAUAGUGAUCCGGUGGUUCUGAAUGGAAGGGCCAUCGCUCAACGGAUAAAAGGUACUCCGGGGAUAACAGGCUGAUACCGCCCAAGAGUUCAUAUCGACGGCGGUGUUUGGCACCUCGAUGUCGGCUCAUCACAUCCUGGGGCUGAAGUAGGUCCCAAGGGUAUGGCUGUUCGCCAUUUAAAGUGGUACGCGAGCUGGGUUUAGAACGUCGUGAGACAGUUCGGUCCCUAUCUGCCGUGGGCGCUGGAGAAUUGAGGGGGGCUGCUCCUAGUACGAGAGGACCGGAGUGGACGCAUCACUGGUGUUCGGGUUGUCAUGCCAAUGGCACUGCCCGGUAGCUAAAUGCGGAAGAGAUAAGUGCUGAAAGCAUCUAAGCACGAAACUUGCCCCGAGAUGAGUUCU